GUGGGGAAUAUUGGGCAAUGGGGGCAACCCUGACCCAGCGACGCCGCGUGGGUGAAGAAAUCCCUCGGGAUGUAAAGCCCUGUUGUAUGGGAAGAGCAGAAGACGGUACCAUACGAGGAAGCCCCGGCAAACUACGUGCCAGCAGCCGCGGUAAUACGUAGGGGGCAAGCGUUGUCCGGAAUUACUGGGCGUAAAGCGCACGCAGGCUGAAUUAUAAGUCGGUAGUCAAAUACGGAGGCUCAACUUCCGGAUAUCUAUCGAUACUGUAAAUCUAGAGUAUGUGAGAGGGAAGCGGAAUUCCCCGUGUAGCGGUGAAAUGCGUAGAUAUGGGGAGGAACACCAGUGGCGAAGGCGGCUUUCUGGACGGUGUCUGACACUGAGGCGCGAAAGCCAGGGGAGCGAACGGGAUUAGAAACCCGGGUAGUCC
rnacentral:rRNA from 1 species